CCGGAAUAGCUCAGUUGGUAGAGCAGAGGACU
rnacentral:tRNA from 2 species